rnacentral:rRNA from 1 species
GACGAACGCUGGCGGCGUGCCUAACACAUGCAAGUCGAGCGAUGAAGAUUGGUGCUUGCACCGAUUUGAAGAGCAGCGAACGGGUGAGUAACGCGUGGAGAAUCUGCCUUUUAGCGGGGGACAACAUUUGGAAACGAAUGCUAAUACCGCAUAACAACUUUAAACAUAAGUUUUAAGUUUGAAAUAUGCAAUUGCAUCACUCAAAGAUGAUCCCGCGUUGUAUUAGCUAGUUGGUGAGGGAAAGGCUUACCAAGGCGAGGAUACAUAGCCGACCUGAGAGGGUGGACCGCCAGCAUGAGAAGGAGAAACGGCCCCAACUUCUACAGGAGGCAGCAGUAGGGAAUCGUAGGCAAGGGAGGAAAGGCGGAUCGAGCAAAGCCGGCGGAAGGAAGAAGGGUUUCGGAUCGGAAAAGUCUGUUGGUAGAGAAGAACGUUGGUGAGGGUGGUAAGCUCAUAAAAUGACGGUAACUAACGAGAAAGCGACGGCUAACUACGUG